rnacentral:piRNA from 1 species
UGAAACUUCAGAGUACCGUUGACAA